rnacentral:rRNA from 1 species
UACGUAGGGUGCAAGCGUUGUCCGGAAUUAUUGGGCGUAAAGAGCUCGUAGGCGGUCUGUCGCGUCGGAUGUGAAAAUCCAGGGCUCAACCCUGGACCUGCAUUCGAUACGGGCAGACUAGAGUUCGGCAGGGGAGACUGGAAUUCCUGGUGUAGCGGUGAAAUGCGCAGAUAUCAGGAGGAACACCGGUGGCGAAGGCGGGGCUCUGGGCCGAUACUGACGCUGAGGAGCGAAAGCGUGGGGAGCGAACAGG